GACACCGGGCCCAGGUGUGUCUGCAUGGAGAGAGUCUCCUCCAUGAAUGGGGAAGUGGUGUAUUUAUCCUGGGAGACACCGGGCCCAGGUGUGUCUGCAUGGAGAGAGUCUCCUCCAUGAAUGGGGAAGUGGUGUAUUUAUCCUGGGAGACACCGGGCCCAGGUGUGUCUGCAUGGAGAGAGUCUCCUCCAUGAAUGGGGAAGUGGUGUAUUUAUCCUGGGAGACACCGGGCCCAGGUGUGUCUGCAUGGAGAGAGUCUCCUCCAUGAAUGGGGAAGAGGUCUAUUUAUCCUGGGAGACACCGGGCCCAGGUGUGUCUGCAUGGAGAGAGUCUCCUCCAUGAAUGGGGAAGAGGUCUAUUUAUCCUGGGAGACACCGGGCCCAGGUGUGUCUGCAUGGAGAGAGUCUCCUCCAUGAAUGGGGAAGUGGUGUAUUUAUCCUGGGAGACACCGGGCCCAGGUGUGUCUGCAUGGAGAGAGUCUCCUCCAUGAAUGGGGAAGUGGUGUAUUUAUCCUGGG